CUAUGCACAUUUUCAUUCAGUUAUGUUUCAUUUUCUGCUUCCUUAUAUUCUGCAGAUAUUGUGCAAUAUGAGUUGUUUACAUUUCUGUCUCACCUUCCUGGUACUGCCAAAGACAAAUGACCUUCAUGCCAGCAUUGUUCCAUGGUGAGCUUUGCCUGGAAUUGGAGAAAAACUGAAAUGAACAGUUCACUGUGACCAUGCAGCUUGAGUCACUUGAACCAUGUCAGAUGACAAACUAUUCUUAGUGGACCUUCUGUGCAGUCAACUUAUCUUCUAAGGAGGAAAGAAACCCUUUUUCUCAGGUGGGCGCUUCACCUUUCACCAGGAGAUUUGAUUGGCCUCUUUUGCUCCUCCGAUGCAUUUGUCCCCUCAUGUUUUUCAUAUAUUCUCUGUGCCAGUAAAAGUGCUGGAUCUCACAGAAUGAAGACAGUUAGGCAAACAAGCUCCUAAGGGAAUGAAGAGAAGGAAUUUGACACGACUGAAAAAAAAAAAAAAAACCAGCAGAUGAAAAUGGAAGGAUUCCCUGCAGUUGAUCAGUUCUGCCCUGCACAGCAAGCAUCACACAGUUAGUAAGAGCUACUAAAGAGAUUUCCAGGAAGAUUUGUACAAAGUAGAGGAAAUACAAUGAGGAAAUAUAAAACCUCCACUGCGUAAGUCAACUUUUAUUUGUUUGUCUGUUUGCAAAACUGAACUAUGAAUUUAUCUUCAAUACCUUGAGAACUCCACACUUCGGGCUUCUAUAUCCAACCAACUCAAAAUAACCAAAUAACUUCAGAAAAGGAAAAAAUAAGUCAACCCAGAAACAACAACUCUCUUUGGUCUGACUGAUCUGAGCCUUUUAAACUUUAUUUAUUUAUUUAUUUAUUUAUUUAUUUUCAUUACCCCGCUUCAUGAGCUUGGUAGUUUGAACAAGAGACUUCUGUUUUGACAGCCUGUCUCCUGGGUUCCCCACUGAAAAGGCCAAAGCUCCCAGUGAAGCAGCAGUAGCUGCCUUUAAACAGGAGACGAGCACUUCUUGCUUUCUUGUGCUGCAUGCAAAUAGAGAGGCUCAGAGUUACCCAGCUCUGCCAAGCUUCCCCCUAAUGUGCCUUCUGCAUGGCAAUGGCCAGCACAAGUGAUCAUCCAGCACCGUGUCUUUGAGCGUGUUAAUGUCUCUGACCCCGGUCCACUGAUCACCCGUUUCGGCAGGGGACUCAUCAUCUGUACAAACAGCAUUUACAGAGCCCGCAGCCUCCUGGCUGUACGUGACAGAGAGCACUGCUUUAUGCUCUGGCUCUUCAGCAGAGCUCAGUGAAGGGCAGCUGCCCCUUCCGUGCUUGUAAGUAACACUUCCAUGACAACACCUUCAGCUCAUUAGUUUUGUUUGUUUCUUUCCAGAAUGGCAGUAUAUUUUCUAGGUUUUUUUUAAGUGCAGUAAAGAAUGGGCCAUCAUAUCUGUUACUAAGCUACCCACGGGGUAAUUCAGGAGAAGGCUGGAGGUUUUAAAAACAGAGGAGAGAUGAUCACACUGCAGAAACUAUAUUUAAUCCUUCAACCCCCACCUCACCACCUGAUCCUCUGCUGCAGUGCCAGUACCAGAGCCCAGUACAAACAUUCAUAGUCACACAUGCAUGAAAAUGUGUUUAAUAAAAUGAGAAACUCUAUACCCCAAACUGAUAAAACCUCAAGCAAACAUAGUCAAGAUGCUGCCCUCUUCUACCUUACUGUUCCUUUAUUUCUUUGAGGAAGGAAAGAGUGAUACUGCCUUCCCUUUUCCAAGUGGAAAUCAAGUAGCCUGUCAGCCCCAGAUGAGUUAAAGGGCGGUGGAAUUUUAUGAGAGUGGGAAGGGUAGGGAUUAUCAGGGUGUUUGUGAAGGUGAUCUUUGAGUUGAUAUGUGUAGUGGUUUUCCUAGGGCCACACAGCAGCUCUGCUCUGCCAAGGCACAGGCCACCAUUCACAUCUCAGUUUUAACCUGGCUGUGUUCCCCCAGCCAGGGACUCAAUACUGUAAAAUCUGUGCCAGUAUGAGAUAUUAGUGCCACAGAUUGGGAAAAAAACUAAUAGUCCAUUGGCACCGUGAAACUUGCCCUAAAUUUGCACCCUAGAAGCAAAGAAAAGACAGAUACAGAAACAUGUGAAAUCUCCAUUUAGUCAUAUCAAAAUCCUUUACUGAUUACCUUGGGG